UACAGAGGUCCCAAGCGUUGUUCGGAUUCACUGGGCGUAAAGGGUGCGUAGGCGGCGCGGUAAGUCGGGUGUGAAAUCUUGGAGCUUAACUCCGAAACUGCAUUCGAUACUGCCGUGCUUGAGGACUGGAGAGGAGACUGGAAUUUACGGUGUAGCGGUGAAAUGCGUAGAUAUCGUAAGGAAGACCAGUGGCGAAGGCGGGUCUCUGGACAGUUCCUGACGCUGAGGCACGAAGGCCAGGGAGCAAACGGG
rnacentral:rRNA from 1 species